AACGGGUGAAUUUGUUUAUGAAAAAAGCAAUAUAGGUGGUGAAUCCCCAAAAGCUGAUAUUUCAAACUGUGGAGAAGAAACAGAAAUUGCAAAGGCUCAAGAUUGGCUAAAAAUUUUUACGGAACCCUGGAAUGACGUGCAGGAAAAUUGGCGAAAGUGUUUUAAAAAACGAAGACAAGAAAUUCUAAGCACAAACGAUUCAAAUCGAUUUUAGUUAUUUGCAUCCACAUUCCACAUCCAUCGUCGAUAAAUGGAAGACCUUUAAUCUCAAAAUAAUCCCACUGCUAAAAACAAAGUUAACGGAUCCGGCGCACUUGCAACAAUUGGAAACAAUAAAAUCACAAGAAAAAGGUUCAGAACAGAUCAUUGCACUACUGCUUCAUGUUUUGCUGCGUCCAACAAUAAAACGAAAAGCAAAUACCGCAAAAAAGAUUUACCGGUCUACUAUCAAAGAUUCGGAGAUGUCGUUUAUUCUUCAUGUUGUUACGGCAAAUG